UGGGGAAUAUUGGGCAAUGGGGGAAAGCCCUGACCCAGCAACGCCGCGUGAAGGAAGAAGGACUUUCGGGUUUGUUAACUUCUUUUAUCCAGGGAGCGAAGGACGUGACGGUACCUGGAGAAAAAGCAACGGCUAACUACGUGCCAGCAGCCGCGGUAAUACGUAGGUUGCAAGCGUUGUCCGGAUUUACUGGGUGUAAAGGGCGUGUAGGCGGAGAAGCAAGUUGGGAGUGAAAUCCAUGGGCUCAACCCAUGAACUGCUCUCAAAACUGUUUCCCUUGAGUAUCGGAGAGGCAAGCGGAAUUCCUAGUGUAGCGGUGAAAUGCGUAGAUAUUAGGAGGAACACCAGUGGCGAAGGCGGCUUGCUGGACGACAACUGACGCUGAGGCGCGAAAGCGUGGGGAGCAAACAGGAUUAGAUACC
rnacentral:rRNA from 1 species